rnacentral:rRNA from 1 species
AGCGAACGCUGGCGGCAGGCCUAACACAUGCAAGUCGAACGAACCUUUCGGGGUUAGUGGCGGGCGGGGGAGUAACACGUGGGAACGUGCCUUUAGGUUCGGAAUAACGCAGGGAAACUUGUGCUAAUACCGAAUGCGCCCUUCGGGGGAAAGAUUAAUCGCCUUUAGAGCGGCCCGCGUCUGAUUAGCUAGUUGGUUGAGGUAAUGGCUCAACAAGGCGACGAUCAGUAGCUGGUCUGAGAGGAUGAUCAGCCACGUUGGGACUGAGACACGGCCCAAACUCCUACGGGAGGCAGCAGUGGGGAAUCUUGCGCAAUGGGCGAAAGCCUGACGCAGCCAUGCCGCGUGAAUGAUGAAGGUCUUAUGAUUGUAAAAUUCUUUAAGCGGGGAAGAUAAUGACGGUACCCGGAGAAGAAGCCCCGGCUAACUACGUG